GACGAACGCUGGCGGCGUGCUUAACACAUGCAAGUCGAACGGAAAGGCUCCAGCUUGCUGGAGUACUCGAGUGGCGAACGGGUGAGUAACACGUGGGUAAUCUGCCCUGCACUCUGGGAUAAGCCUGGGAAACUGGGUCUAAUACUGGAUAUGACCUUUCUCCUUAUGGGGUUUGGUGGAAAGUUUUUCGGUGUAGGAUGAGCCCGCGGCCUAUCAGCUUGGUGGUGGGGUGAUGGCCUACCAAGGCGACGACGGGUAGCCGGCCUGAGAGGGGGGUCGGCCACAUGGGGCCUGAGCUACGGCCCAGGCUCCUACGGGAGGCAGCAGUGGGGAAUAUUGCACAAUGGGCGGAAGCCUGAUGCAGCGACGCCGCGUGAGGGAUAACGGCCUUCGGGUUGUAAACCUCUUUCAGCAGGGACGAAGCGUAAGUGACGGUACCUGCAGAAGAAGCACCGGCUAACUAUGUGCCAGCCGCCGCCGUAA
rnacentral:rRNA from 1 species